GUCCUUUCGGGGACAUCCGAUAAAAUUGGAACGAUACAGAGAAGAUUAGCAUGGCCCCUGCGCAAGAAUGACAAGCAUAAAUUGGAACAAAAAAGGCCUUUUU